UACGUAGGGAGCAAGCGUUAUCCGGAUUUAUUGGGUUUAAAGGGUGCUCAGGCGGGCCAUUAAGUCGGCGGUGAAAUUUUGCGGCUCAACCGUAAAAGUGCCUUCGAUACUGGUGGUCUUGAGUGUGGAUGAGGUAGGCGGAAUUUGUGGUGUAGCGGUGAAAUGCAUAGAUAUCACGAGGAACUCCGAUUGCUAAGGCAGCUUACUAAGCCAUAACUGACGCUCAAGCACGAAGGCGUGGGGAUCAAACAGGAUUAGAUACCCUGGUA
rnacentral:rRNA from 1 species